GAGAAACAAGUGGGUUAUCUACUAACGUGGCUGGGGGAAGUAGUAACUGUUGAGUGAGUGAGACUGACUAAGCAAUCUCUAGUGAAGUGCCGACGAGCCGUGUAAUGUGUGAAUUACUGCUGUAAAGGAGAAAUAAGGUUCCUGCUGACGAACGCCGCAACAACGUCUUAUUCAUCUUUUUGACUGGCGGAGUGGCCCGGGUUGCUAAAGCUAGUUACCAGCUGCGAGCCCGACUAAGGAUGUGAUCUGAGCAAGCAGAAAGGCACAGGACAAGCACUUCGGGCAGCUCUGCAGCAUGUGAUCCGCAUAAACACAACCGCAGCUGUGUCGCACCAACUUUCAUUUGUUUGAAGCCACAAAAUAACCAAACAGCCACAAGCACAAACAAUGGACUUGCAAGCAUGUUAAAAUGUAAUGAUGUCAAUAGUGUUUGUCAGCACACUGUCUUCAUGUGGUAUUCUAAUGAUCCCUACAGAUCCACUGCUCGUACAACUGGCACAGUAAAACAGGAGCUCUCUCUCUCUCUCUCUCUCGUGCUCACAGUUGUUUUUUUAACAUUAGAAAUGACAAUGCUGCAGGUGUAGCCGGCAGUAACGAGAUGGAGCUGCUGCCCCCAGUCUGGCAUGCACCACUCAGCACAAGUACAGUGUGUAGCCCCAAGAUUUUUGUCAUAUCAAAUUCAACAAAGAAAGAAUGAUGUAUGUCAGGUGGUGAAGUGGAGCAAUAUUAGAAUGUCAGUCCUUGGAUUAGCCUGACAAUGGCUUAAUUGCACUGAAUAAAUUUUUUCACGCAACCAAACAUUUUUGCAUUCAGUGUUGGAGAAAACAGCUAUUGCAGCUGCUGCCACAGCAGAGUGAAAAGUGAGUCAUGUCUCUAAGUUAAUACAUAAUGUCUCCUGGUUGUUUUAUGCAUUGAGGUUACUGUCAGCGGAGAAAAAGACACCUCUUCCUUUUCUGCAUGGAUCUCUGCCUGUUUGUUUGCUGCAUGUGCAAAUUGGCAGAAUGAGGCUCUUUGAUUCAAGCGACCUGACACUGAACCCUGACAUUUACUGAUGAUAUUUUGGAUUAAAAUGUUCUGUUCUCUAA